rnacentral:misc_RNA from 1 species
AUUGAAAGGGUUAUUUAAAAUGGCUUAUGAACUCACUACACUUUGUGGUGUUGAAAUGGCUAUAACCGUCUAUAGUCCUUACCAGAUUCAACCUAUUUUGUUUCCAAAUAAUGCUAACGCAUUCAAUACCUUUAAAAGGUUUAGUGAGCUUUCGGUGUUAGAUCAAUCAAAACACAUGAUGACGGGAGAAGAGUUGACGAAGCUAAGGA